AGCGAGCCCGGCUGACAUCUACGCUCUGCCCUCACUGCAGAACAACAUCAAUGUGAGGGAGACCAUUAACAGACACUUGGAGCGCUUGGCUUUGGCUCAGCGGCGGGCAUUUGGCAUUUGGUACAGCAAAGUUUUGCCCCCCUCCCUCAUCAUCAGAGGUAAUCAGUCACUCAUCAGGGACACAGGAAACCUGAUCGCCUACCUGCCCUUCAACAACUUCCAACACCUCUCAUCUGCUCAGCUGUUGAACGGGCUGGAUGUGUUGCAGAGAAACACCCUCACUUCUCUAAAGCUGGAGUUCAUAGCUCACAGUCUCAUUGCCACCGACAGGAACUUGACAGCUCAGGAUUUUACCAGGCUGGGAAAUCUCUCAUGCCUGGCAGACCCAGAGGACCUCCUCAGGUACAAAAGCACUGAGGUCUUCAGUGUCAUCCAGGACAUUGUU